GCUUACGGCCAUACCACCCUGAGCACGCCCGAUCUUGUCUGAUCUCGGAAGCUAAGCAAGGUUGGGCUUGGUUAGUACUUGGAUGGGAGCCCGCCUGGGAAUACCAGGUGCUGUAAGCU
rnacentral:rRNA from 1 species